CCUAAUGUAUGUAACGUUGCU
rnacentral:piRNA from 1 species